AAAGAAUUGUUUUAUAUUAAUAUUCAUAUAUUCAACUACAUAUACAAAAAAAAUCUAUGUAAAAAUUUUACAAGUACUUGUUACAAUCCUAUGAUAUGUCUUAUAACGCUAGUUUUUCAUGUCCACUUUAACCAACUGUCAAGGAGUUCAAAUGUAGUGCUACGAACAUUGAUCCACAAUUAUUAUCUUUAUUCUGCAAAAAAAAAAAAGAAAAAAAAAGAAAAAAAAAGAAAAAAGACAAUUUAUAUCAAGCACAAUAUAAUUGUCAAUUGGUAAGAAACCCAAACAAUGAAAAUCAGAAAAUAAACAUAAACUCUAAUGAACAAUCUUGCAUAAUUUUAGCUCAAGGUGUGAGCAUAGCAACCACCAAUCUAUACCAUAAAUAAUGCCAGUGAGUAGUUGAAGUGAAAAUUAAACACACCUCAAAUACAUUCUUCAAUUUUUCUCGUACCACCCUAAGAUCAGAGGAUGCUCAUAAAUCCAAACAAUCUAAAAAAUAGUAAAACCAUAUGCACAAUUUAACAAUUAUGAUGUUUCACAUUUUCAGGAUUAUAAGGACAACUAUAUCACAUUAAUUGCACCAUACUAUAUCACAUAAACUGAACCACAAAGAAGUUAAAGUAAAUGCCAAAUCACAAGUUCACAGAAAAGUAUAAAUAACAAGUUCACAAAGAAGUUAAACUGAACCACACACAUGCUGAGAUCCAAAACCAGCCACAAAGCUAGAAUGGCACAUGCAUAACAAUGUUUACAUGGAUAUGUUAAACAAGGAAAAUCAGCAUAGUCAAAUUGGAAUUAUUACGUUUCUUAGGCGUACCAACAACCUGAACAUGUACAAGGUAAUGGGAAAGAUCAAAGAAACGGAAUAUCCGUACCUUUACAUUUCUGAAUUUCAGUGGCAUAAUCUAUCAGUUUUUUCAUGCCAUUCAAGCUUUCUAAUGAAAGAAAAUUCUGUUCUAAUAGGUAAAGACAAGAACAGUUAGCGAUCCAGCAGAACAAUAGAACUUGGUAACAGAUCAAAACAAAAGUGCGUUUAAUAGUUUUUUUCUCUACAAAAAUAUGAUGGUAAAGUACAUGUGUUAAAUUAAUAGUGAGGAUAUUGUAUGCAGUAGAAAAAAAGAAGCAUCACAGAAAACUUUACCUCUAAACUGCAAGAAAAACAGAAGCAUCCUAGAGAAAUAAUUUCAUC
rnacentral:lncRNA from 1 species